rnacentral:lncRNA from 1 species
AUCCCCGCGAAAUGUUGCAAUACUAGCUCUACUAGCCCUGGAUAUCUUUGAGCCAAUGGUAGGUGAGGCAAGAAACCAACUGGCUGCACCUGAUCCACUUACAGGUGAUGAACCGGCCAAUUUUCUUGAUAAAUAAAGGUCAGCCAUAUCAUCGUCAUCAUCCAGAAGUUGCUCAAGCUAGAUGCACCGGCCAAUUUUCUUGACAAAUAAAGGUCAGGCAUAUCAUCAUCAUCAUCCAGAAGUUGCUCAAGCUCAUCUCUCACCUGCAAUUAAGUACA